rnacentral:lncRNA from 10 species
UUUUUCCGUGCAGUAUGUGUAGAAAGUCAGAGGAAAAAAGUGUAAGUGGAAAAGCAUGAGGUUAUUUUCAGAAAUUGCAAAUGUCUUUGUUGCCUGUGGUAAACACUACUGAUGAGAGGGAUGCCCUGUUGAAGAGACUACAUUCUGCCUAGAAAGUUACAGGUGACUGUGGAAGUGAAGCUCCUCCUUCUGGCCCUGGAAAAAAUCAUUUACACUGAGAAGGUGUUGGGAUUGCGGGGAGCUAUGAUUUCACCUGAAAUACUUAACUGAAGAUCAGCAGUCUGGUAACAAGGGUUAUGAACGUAAAACCCAGGGGAAUUUAACCAGAAAGCAUGGAUUAAGAGAAUUAAUGAAUAAAAAGACCCAAUGUCAGCUGCAAAGUGAGAGAACAUUCAUAGCAAAUUAAUGGUUUGACAAUGUUCCAAGCAAAAAGGCAAUGUUUUAAGAUUAGCAUAAAGUUUAAAAAUUUGUAAGGAGUCUAUUCUGAAGCAGUGUGGAAUAUUUUCUCUGAAACUUCCAGUAAUAGAGCCUCUGUGCCUUCAUGUACAUGAAGGAUUAAAUCAAGUGGACUUUCAGAGAUGAUUUCCUUAUUCCGCAGGGAAAGAAACUUGGUCAGUGUGGGGUAAGGGAAGCAGUCACUCCAACAACUGCAAAUGCCACAGGCAGAAAUCUCUGCCAAGGCUCAGUCCUCCAAAGCAAAUGAAAGCACUAAAGAGCAAGCAGAGGUGAAGGGGAAUACAAAGAAAGAAAGGGAGAGAGGCAGAUGAAUGGAGGAAAAGAAAAGAAAUAAACUAAAAUUGGAAACUCGCAAAUAAAAUUCACUAAGUUAGUAGCCUGAAAAGCGCAAAAAUUACAGGAGGUUGAUUGUGAGGCUGAAGACCAGGAAGCCCCCAAGGGCAAGGAAUGAUAAAGUAAGGCAAACUAGAGGAGGAGCCAGGAUGAGCCUGCCACAGGGGCUUGAGGAAGACACUAGUUGGGGAGAGGCAACAACAGCUGUCAGAAAAUUGAGGCAUUUUGAAGUUGAAACAGAUACAUACUAGGAAGAAAAAUAGGAAAUCCCAGGCCAUUCCGAAGUUGGAGCAAUGAAAAACCAGGAAGAUCCUGCAAAAGUUACAUCCAACUGGAAAAUAACUUUUAAAGCAGUUUUGAAACAAGCAUCAGACAAUUAAAUAGCAAUCAAAGAGCUAAGAAACAUAUCCAGAUUUUCUUUAUCCAGUCACCAAAAAUAUGGAACACUUCACAAAUUUGCAUGUCAUCCUUGUUCAGGGCCCAUGUUCUGUGUCAUUCCAAUUUUGGUAUAUGUGCUGCUAAAGUGGGAAAUGAAAGAUUUUUAAAAUCCUGUUUCAAUUCUAACAGACAUAUCUGAACAUGUAUUUUUCAUCAGUGUCAAGAAUUACACAAUAUAAAUAACUCCCCUGACUUCAAAAAAAAAAGAGCUAAGAAAAUGGUUUUAGCUCAGUAUUAUGUAGUGACAAAUGAAUAACACACAUCAGAGGAGAAA